rnacentral:rRNA from 1 species
GACGAACGCUGGCGGCGUGCUUAACACAUGCAAGUCGAACGAGGUAGCAAUACCUAGUGGCGGACGGGUGAGUAACACGUAGGUAACCUGCCUUGUAGUGGGGGAUACCCAGUCGAAAGAUUGGCUAAUACCGCAUACCUUGGGGAGUUGUGAUACUUUUCAAGAAAGAUUUAUCGCUAUGAGAGGGGCCUGCGUACGAUUAGCUAGUUGGUGAGGUAACGGCUCACCAAGGCGACGAUCGUUAGCUGGUCUGAGAGGACGAUCAGCCACACUGGAACUGAGACACGGUCCAGACUCCUACGGGAGGCAGCAGUGGGGAAUUUUCCGCAAUGGGCGAAAGCCUGACGGAGCAACGCCGCGUGGGUGAUGAAGAUUUUCGGAUCGUAAAGCCCUUUCAGCAGGGACGAACACAAUGACGGUACCUGCAGAAGAAGCAUCGGCUAACUACGUGCCAGCCGCCGCGGUAAAAC